CAGUAGCCACGGGAAUACGAAGGGGGCUAGCGUUGCUCGGAAUUACUGGGCGUAAAGGGCGCGUAGGCGGAUAGUUUAGUCAGAGGUGAAAGCCCAGGGCUCAACCUUGGAAUUGCCUUUGAUACUGGCUAUCUUGAGUUCGGAAGAGGUAAGUGGAAUGCCGAGUGUAGAGGUGAAAUUCGUAGAUAUUCGGCGGAACACCAGUGGCGAAGGCGACUUACUGGUCCGAUACUGACGCUGAGGCGCGAAAGCGUGGGGAGCAAACAGGAUUAGAGACCCCCGUAGUCCCUGUCUCUUAUAC
rnacentral:rRNA from 1 species